UACGGGGGGAGCAAGCGUUGUUCGGAUUUACUGGGCGUAAAGGGCGCGUAGGCGGUCGUGACAAGUCACUUGUGAAAAUCUCCGGGCUUAACUCGGAACGGUCAAGUGAUACUGUCGGACUAGAGUACAGAAGGGGGCAACUGGAAUUCUCGGUGUAGCGGUGAAAAUGCGCAGAUAUCAGGAGGAACACCGGUGGCGAAGGCGGGUCUCUGGGCAGUAACUGACGCUGAGGAGCGAAAGCGUGGGGAGCGAACAGG
rnacentral:rRNA from 1 species